rnacentral:other from 1 species
AUUGAAUUAAAUGAAUCUAAUCACUAUGCCUUCCCCCUUUUUUGGUGUAGAGAAAAACUGAAUUGCUGUGUGUAGUCUUUGCCUGUCAGCCCAUGAUAGGCUUUUUUUUUG